rnacentral:rRNA from 1 species
CAAUAGCGUAUAUUAAAGUUGUUGCAGUUAAAAAGCUCGUAGUUGAAUUUUGGAUUUGUUUGCAGGGUCUCUUCGAAAGAGGAGCACUUUGUGAAUGGGUCUUGUUUGUAGUGAACCCAUGUGUCAUUUACUUGGUGUGCGGUGGAACUACAGGUUUACUUUGAAAAAAUUAGAGUGUUUAAGGCAAGUAUCGCUUGAAUACAUUAGCAUGGAAUAAUAGAAUAGGACUUUGGUUCUAUUUUGUUGGUUUCUAGGACCAAGGUAAUGAUUAAUAGGGAUAGUUGGGGGCAUUAGUAUUUCAUUGUCAGAGGUGAAAUUCUUGGAUUUAUGAAAGACUAACUUGUGCGAAAGCAUCUGUCCAGAAUGUUUUCAUUAA